GAAAACCUACCUACAAAAGUGAUUGUCUCAGAAAUGAGAGACUAGGGACUAGGGCAAAUCGUUCAAUUCAAUUUGCCCGAAUCGGUGGCGAUGGCGAUCGACUCGGUAGAGGGAGGUUCGGUCCGGCGGAAAAGUUGGUGGCUCGAUUCGUCGAUCGCCGUCGAGUUUCUUGACCCCGAUAUUCUAGGGUUCUUGAGACGGAGCAGGAUACCAUUACUUUGCUGUCCAGCUGUGGGGGUUUCUACUUUCUCGUUUGAAGUCCGUUGGAUUUUUGACAUGUUGCCCAGUCAACCAGCCACAGUGAUUCAGUGGUUUGUGUACUUGGGAAGUCUCCUGAGGUCUACUGGUACACAUCAAUAUUGGACAUCUGCUUAACCAAGUGUUCUGACGAGAGACCCAAGCCACACUGCGCCGCUUUGUUUGCAUUCGGACAGUGGCAAGAUUUCAGAUCAACAAGGCUAGUUGGAUGUUGAUGAUGAUCAAAGUGAGGACAAAGGGUGAAACUGUAGAGGGGACCUCCAGGAGGGUGAGGAAAAUGGCAAAGCAAUGGGACCUCCGAACUUGUAUGCAGUGCUGCAAACUACUGGUCAAUGGUUUUUCAGGGAUAUUUUUUUUUUUAUUCACUUUAUCAACUGUUUUUAGGAAUGUGACUGUAAA